rnacentral:rRNA from 1 species
AGUCACUGACAUUAGAUACCCGCGUAGUCCAGGGUGUAAACGCUGCAGACUUGGUGUUGGAAGUCCUUUGGGGGCAUUCAGUGCCGGAGAGAAGUUGUUAAGUCUGCUACUUGGGGAGUACGUCCGCAAGGAUGAAACUUAAAGGAAUUGGCGGGGGAGCACCGCAACGGGAGGAGCGUGCGGUUUAAUUGGAUUCAACACCUUAAAACUCACCAGGGAAGACUGUUACAUGAAAGCCGAGAUGAAGACUCUGCUAGAUUUUCAG